rnacentral:rRNA from 1 species
AUUGAACGCUGGCGGCAAGCCUAACACAUGCAAGUCGAGCGAGUGGCGGACGGGUGAGUAAUGUCUGGGAAACUGCCUGAUGGAGGGGGAUAACUACUGGAAACGGUAGCUAAUACCGCAUACCAUCGGAUGUGCCCAGAUGGGAUUAGCUAGUAGGUGGGGUAAUGCCUCACCUAGGCGACGAUCCCUAGCUGGUCUGAGAGGAUGACCAGCCACACUGGAACUGAGACACGGUCCAGACUCCUACGGGAGGUAGCAGUGGGGAAUAUUGCACAAUGGGCGCAAGCCUGAUGCAGCCAUGCCGCGUGUAUGAAGAAGGCCUUCGGGUUGUAAAGUACUUUCAGCGGGGAGGCGUUACCCGCAGAAGAAGCACCGGCUAACUCCGUGCCAGCAGCCGCGGUAAUUC